rnacentral:misc_RNA from 1 species
GAAAUGCGAUAAGUAAUGUGAAUUGAAGAAUUCCGUGAAUCAUCGAAUCUUUGAACGCACAUUGCGCCCUCUGGCAUUCCGGGGGGCAUGCCUGUCCGAGCGUCAUUACGCACCCUCAAGCCCGGCUUGUGUGAUGGGCCCCGGCGUCUCGUUCGCGAGACGGGCCCGAAAGGCAGCGGCGGCGUCGACCCGAUGAGCCCGAGCGUAUGGGGACUUCUGUCACACGUUCGCGGUGCGGACCGGCGCCUGCUUGACUUUUCUGAUUAUCCAGGUUGACCUCGGAUCAGGUAGGGAUACCCGCUGAACUUAAGC